rnacentral:rRNA from 1 species
UGGGGAAUAUUGCACAAUGGGCGCAAGCCUGAUGCAGCCAUGCCGCGUGUAUGAAGAAGGCCUUCGGGUUGUAAAGUACUUUCAGCGAGGAGGAAGGUGUGUGUAAUACCGCAGCAAUUGACGUUACUCGCAGAAGAAGCACCGGCUAACUCCGUGCCAGCAGCCGCGGUAAUACGGAGGGUGCAAGCGUUAAUCGGAAUUACUGGGCGUAAAGCGCACGCAGGCGGUCUGUCAAGUCGGAUGUGAAAUCCCCGGGCUCAACCUGGGAACUGCAUCCGAAACUGGCAGGCUAGAGUCUUGUAGAGGGG